CAGAGCUCACAGAUCAAGAAUCAAAUAGGUUUCUAGAAUACCACUUAAGACAUAAAAACCCAGCAGAAGAUAUAGAAAAGAGGAGCUUUACUAAAAGCCAAUCCUGUCUAGUAGAACUUCCAGCAGGGGAACCGCAAAAUGAUGAUGGAUUGAAACGAAGGUG